CCUACGGGCGGCAGCAGUGGGGAAUAUUGCACAAUGGGCGCAAGCCUGAUGCAGCCAUGCCGCGUGUGUGAAGAAGGCCUUCGGGUUGUAAAGCACUUUCAGCGGGGAGGAAGGCGUUAAGGUUAAUAACCUUGGCGAUUGACGUUACCCGCAGAAGAAGCACCGGCUAACUCCGUGCCAGCAGCCGCGGUAAUACGGAGGGUGCAAGCGUUAAACGGAAUUACUGGGCGUAAAGCGCACGCAGGCGGUCUGUCAAGUCGGAUGUGAAAUCCCGGGCUCAACCUGGGAACUGCAUUCGAAACUGGCAGGCUAGAGUCUUGUAGAGGGGGGUAGAAUUCCAGGUGUAGCGGUGAAAUGCGUAGAGAUCUGGAGGAAUACCGGUGGCGAAGGCGGCCCCCUGGACAAAGACUGACGCUCAGGUGCGAAAGCGUGGGGAGCAAACAGGAUUAGAUACCCCGGUAGUC
rnacentral:rRNA from 1 species